UCCGGUUUGUCACCGGCAGUCUCCUUAGAGUGCCCAACUGAAUGCUGGCAACUAAGGACAAGGGUUGCGCUCGUUGCGGGACUUAACCCAACAUCUCACGGCACGAGCUGACGACAGCCAUGCACCACCUGUGAACGCCCCCGAAGGACACAACAUCUCUGCUGCUUUAGCGCACAUGUCAAACCCAGGUAAGGUUCUUCGCGUUGCAUCGAAUUAAUCCGCAUGCUCCGCCGCUUGUGCGGGCCCCCGUCAAUUCCUUUGAGUUUUAGCCUUGCGGCCGUACUCCCCAGGCGGGGCGCUUAAUGCGUUAGCUGCGGCACAGAGAACCGGAGAGGCCCCCCACACCUAGCGCCCAACGUUUACGGUGUGGACUAC
rnacentral:misc_RNA from 1 species